GCGCAGUUGCGCGCGUGCAUGUGCACGUCAAAGGUCGAGCCACGAUCGGAUUCACAUACAGAAUGCGAAAAGCAGCCGGCUGCAAACUACGUCCCGUUACCGGUUGCCAUCCAAAAUAUUUGAGGCGAUUAAUCAUAGGAGAUCAAUAGUGCACACGCCUAGCUGAACGAGCAGAUUGGCUCAACCGGUUCGCACGCGAUGAGCUGGUUUGCAAGAAAUUCCCGUCUCUCGUGAAACAGUCAAGCGCCGAUCUGUGCUUCUGGGCGGACUCGCUGUUCCAAUUCCGCUUUCGAGCGGAGAUGCUCUGUCAGUGGUAUCCGGCGACAGACUUCCGGAGGAAAUCUCGUCCAUGCUCUGCAAGAGGUCCUGGG